CAACGCCCUCCAUGACCGAAUCCUCUCCCUCAGCUUCCCAACCUGAAACACGGUCCUCGGUGUCAAUGGUGAUGGUGUUGUUUGAGGUCUGGGCUACAAAGGUAGCUAUGGAGGAAGAUUGGGUAUUGUUUUUGAGGGAGAGACAUGGGGAAAAGAGUGAAGAGUGAGAGCACGAGAGGUUGAGCUUGAUAGGUUUGGAGGGUACACAGAGAAUCCAAUAUGGGUUUUUUGUGGUGGUGGUAAAGAGUGAGGGAAAGGUGGUUACGCAAGAUGAGUCGGCCAUUGACAAGG